rnacentral:rRNA from 1 species
CGCGUAGGCGGACCUUCAAGUCGGGUGUGAAAACCGGCGGCUUAACUGCCGGCCUGCAUUCGAUACUGUAGGUCUUGAGUACAUGAGAGGAAGGCGGAAUUCCAGGUGUAGCGGUGAAAUGCGUAGAUAUCUGGAAGAACACCAGUAGCGAAGGCGGCCUUCUGGCGUGAUACUGACGCUGAAGCGCGAAGGCUAGGGGAGCAAACA